rnacentral:tRNA from 1 species
GGGCAUAUGGUGUAGGGGUUAUCACGUUCGCUUUGCAUGGUCAUCGAAAUGUAAGAGUUAUGCGAAAGGUCUCCGGUUCAAAUCCGGAUUUGUCCA